AGAGUUUGAUCCUGGCUCAGAUUGAACGCUGGCGGAAUGCUUUACACAUGCAAGUCGAACGAUGAACCUUAGCUUGCUAAGGGGAUUAGUGGCGAACGGGUGAGUAAUAUAUCGGAACGUACCUUGUAAUGGGGGAUAACUAGUCGAAAGAUUAGCUAAUACCGCAUACGCCCUGAGGGGGAAAGUAGGGGAUCUUCGGACCUUACGUUAUAAGAGCGGCCGAUAUCUGAUUAGCUAGUUGGUGGGGUAAUGGCCUACCAAGGCGACGAUCAGUAGCUGGUCUGAGAGGACGACCAGCCACACUGGAACUGAGACACGGUCCAGACUCCUACGGGAGGCGGCAGUGGGGAAUUUUGGACAAUGGGCGCAAGCCUGAUCCAGCCAUUCCGCGUGAGUGAAGAAGGCCUUCGGGUUGUAAAGCUCUUUCGCAAGGGAAGAAAACUUACACAAUAACACUGUGUGAGGCUGACGGUACCUUGAUAAGAAGCACCGGCUAACUACGUGCCAGCAGCCGCGGUAAUACGUAGGGUGCGAGCGUUAAUCGGAAUUACUGGGCGUAAAGCGUGCGCAGGCGGUUUUGUAAGUCAGAUGUGAAAUCCCCGAGCUCAACUUGGGAACUGCGUUUGAAACUACAAGACUAGAAUAUGUCAGAGGGGGGUAGAAUUCCACGUGUAGCAGUGAAAUGCGUAGAGAUGUGGAGGAAUACCAAUGGCGAAGGCAGCCCCC
rnacentral:rRNA from 1 species